rnacentral:ncRNA from 1 species
CCUCUUCUUCGCCACAUUCGUCGUAAGGCGGAGCCGGAAAGCCACGGGUCUUGGAAUGAUGAGACAGCCGAGCUGCCAUU